UGCAAAUGAUGUUUGUUCUCACGAUGGUCUUCCAAGCCUCGUGAUGGGGCUCUGACGACAUUGCCAAUAGGCUUAACUGAUGCAAAACG